AGCGAACGCUGGCGGCAGGCUUAACACAUGCAAGUCGAACGGGCGUAGCAAUACGUCAGUGGCAGACGGGUGAGUAACGCGUGGGAACGUACCUUUUGGUCGGAACAACCCAGGGAAACUUGGGGCUAAUACCGGAUAAGCCCUUACGGGGAAAGAUUUAUCGCCGAAAGAUCGGACCCGCGUCGUGAUUAGCUAGUUGGUGUGGUAACGGCGCACCAAGGCGACGAUCAGUAGCUGGGUCUGGAGNGGAUGAUCAGCCACAUUGGGACUGAGACACGGCCCAAACUCCUACGGGAGGCAGCAGUGGGGAAUAUUGGACAAUGGGCGGCAAGCCUGAUCCAGCCAUGCCGUGUGAGUGAUGAAGGCC
rnacentral:rRNA from 1 species